CCUACGGGCGGCUGCAGUAGGGAAUAUUGCUUAAUGGGCGCAAGCCUGAAGCAGCAACGCCGCGUGUGCGAUGAAGGCCUUCGGGUCGUAAAGCACUUUUGGACGGGAAGAGGAAGGACGGUACCGUUCGAAUAAGCCUCGGCUAACUACGUGCCAGCAGCCGCGGUAAAACGUAGGAGGCGAGCGUUAUCCGGAUUUACUGGGUGUAAAGCGCGUGCAGGCGGUUGGCUAAGUUGGGUGUGAAAGCUCCUGGCUCAACUGGGAGAGGUCGCUCAAAACUGGCGAACUGGAGAGUGGUAGGGGAAGGUGGAAUUCCGGGUGUAGUGGUGAAAUGCGUAGAUAUCCGGAGGAACACCAGUGGCGAAAGCGGCCUUCUGGACCAUUUCUGACGCUCAGACGCGAAAGCUAGGGUAGCAAACGGGAUUAGAUACCCCAGUAGU
rnacentral:rRNA from 1 species